GACGAACGCUGGCGGCGUGCUUAACACAUGCAAGUCGAACGGAAAGGCCCUGCUUUUGUGGGGUGCCCGAGUGGCGAACGGGUGAGUAACACGGGAGUAACCUGCCCUUGACUUUGGGAUAACUUCAGGAAACUGGGGCUAAUACCGGAUAGGAGCUCCUGCUGCAUGGUGGGGGUUGGAAAGUUUAGGCGGUUGGGGAUAGACUGGCGGCUUAUCAGCUUGUUGGUGGGGUAGUGGCUUACCAAGGGUUUGACGGAUAGCCGGCCUGGGAGGGUGACCAGCGUCCAGAGGACUGAGAUAGGGAGCAGACGGCAAUGGUAGGCAAUGGGCGGGAGCCUUGCACAGUGGGGCGGAGCGUGAUGAGACAGCCUCGGGAUCGGAAAGACGGCCUUCGUGGUGUGAACCGCUUUAAGCUGUGACGUAGCGUGAGUGACGGUACUGAGUAAAGAAGCACCGGCUAACUACGUG
rnacentral:rRNA from 1 species